rnacentral:rRNA from 1 species
CCCCCCUAGAGGAGCCUGUUCUAUAAUCGAUAAUCCCCGCUACACCUCACCAUUUUUAGCCUUUCAGCCUGUAUWCCUCCGUCGCAAGCUUACCAUGUGAACGUUACCAGUAAGCCCAAUGGCCCUCCCACCAACACGUCAGGUCAAGGUGCAGCUCAUGAAAUGGAAAGCAAUGGGCUACAAUUUCUAGCGUAGAACAAACGAAAAACUGUAUGAAACACAGUUAUGAAGGUGGAUUUAGUAGUAAAAAGAAAUCA